AGGCUUUUAGGUUAGUUUUGCAUUUGAUUCAAAUUUGGGUAUAAGUUUGGGGUUAAAAUCAAGUUGUGGGUUAGUUUUGGCAAAAAUCCCUUUUUAAAAUGGGCCAAAAAAUAUUUUUGAUUCAGGGCCAAAAUAUAUCAAGUCCGUCCCUGUUCUUUAGUAUCACGAAUAACCUUUUUUUAUCUUACGUAUUAAAAUAAAAGUCAUGACUUAAUUCAUGUGUGAUUUUUUUAUCUGGAACAUUUAUUACAAAAAUAGUUUAAUUAAAUUUUGCAUAUAUAUUUUUAUUAUUUUAAUUUUUCUAAAAAAUCAAAUAGAUAUUCUUAUAUUUUCUCUGAAUUGCAUCUGAAUAAAAUAUUUUCAUAUCUUUUUCUUACAAUAUAAAUAUAUAUAUCAUUUUUCAAAAAGCAAGCAUUUAAAAUACUUAAUUACUUUCGUAUUUAUUUAAAAUAUAAAUAAAUAUUUCGUUUUUCACUUAAACAAACCUUAUAAAUAUUUAAUUAAUUUUGUUAUUUAAAAUAUACAUUUAUAUUUUAUUUUUACUAAAAUAAACCUUUUAAGUAUCUAACUAAUUUUGUCAUUAUAUUGAACUCAUGUAAGAUUUUGAAUUAAAUUUGUGAUAUGAAUUUAACAUAAUAUUUAUUAAUUAAAUCUUUGAUCUCUAACAUUUAAAAUUUGUUAAUUUAGAAUUUUGUGCCACACUGUUGAAAAUAUGCUAUCAAUAUGAAUGAUCAGUCUACAAAUGCUAUUUUGAAAGUGCAUUUAGUUGAUGUUAUUAAAUAUAAUGGCCGGUUUAAUUUUAUAUUUCAAUAGUAGAAGUAUAUGAUUGCGUUGUUUACUAAAAGAUAAUCAAACUUAUUUUUAUAUAGACCAUUUUCCUAUUAUUCAUUAAUGUAAUUGUUUGUUUGUUUUAUUUUGUGCAAUUUUGAAAGUGCAAUAGGUAUUGCACCAAUUUAUGUCAUUAACAUAAAUGAUAGAUGAAUGAUUGAAAAAAUAUAUUUCAUGUGAAUAGUUUUAUUUUCAUUGUGUUUAUUAUCAAAUGUAUUUGUUGAUUUAAGUGUUAAUUAUAUAAUGUGAUGUAUGAUAGAUUGAAAAUAAAAGUUUUAAUAUUGAAAUAUUCAUUGUAAAUAAUCCAAGAGUUCUGGGGGAGAAAAGUCUAAAUCACCAAUAGACAAUAUAAGAAACCUCAAAAAAAUAGAUAAUAAAUAGAAAAUUCAUGUUUAAAAAGACAAAAACAAACAAAAUGCAUUACAAAUUCCAGUUUAAUAAGUUAAAUGAAGCAGACAUUUAUAAAUUACACUUAUAGGUUAUUUAGCCAAAGAUUUAAUUCAUACAAAUAAUUUGAUUAAAUAUGACCAAACCUAAAAUACAAGUAUAAUCUUAUGGAAAUUAAUAUCUAAGUUAAUAUUAAAUUGAACAGAAUUUAUCGUAAAUAUCACAUAAUGUAAGGUUUUAGUUAGUGCUCAUGUUUUACUAAGAGAGAUAUCACUAAUACUUUGAAAUAAUAAAUUAAAUUAUUGCAUGCAAACUAUAAAAUUAUUGUGUUUGAGAAUAUUAUAGUAAACUAUUAGUAAUAUAGUAAAUAUUAAAAUUAUAUACCACUAAUCAUAUAAAUCAAGUAUUUAUCUAUACUAUAUUAAAAGGGAUAUAUGAGGAGUAGGGAGGGUGUCCACGUCAGACAAAAAAAUCAACCAAUCAGGUUGCAAUGUUUUGCCACGUAAGCUCUUUGUUGCCCGUGUUAUUCUUUGGCGUUUUCGUUUGGGCUUUGCGUUUUUCUCCUUUGAUCUGCUGUGUAUACGUUUGGGCCAUGGAGCCCAUCAGACUUUAGAGACAGAAAUCUGAUACCUCGCCGAGUAUGUAUGCUGAGAUCUCGCCCUUUCUCAUUUCUUCAAACCCUAACUCUUCGACAUCCCCUUUGCUCUUCCUCUUAUUUGUUCCGUUUCACGUCUGAUUCUCCAGUGCUGCCAUGAUCACGGAGUCAACUUCUUCGACAACGCCGAGGUUUACGCCAAUGGCCGAGCUGAGAAGAUCAUGGGUCUGGCGAUUCGCGAGCUGGACUGGCGGAGAUCCGACAUCGUGGUCUCCACCAAGAUCUUCUGGGGUGGUCCUGGUCCUAACGAUAAAGGUUUCUCGAGGAAACAUAUCAUCGAAGGAACCAAAGCUUCUCUCAAAAGACUCGAUAUGGACUAUGUAGAUGUCCUCUAUUGCCACAGCUUCAACAGUUUCGUCAAAAGAAGGCUGACAAAAACACUGAUCAUAAAAAGGACCCCAAGGGCAGUACAAGCCAAGGAAAUCCUCCAAAAAAUCUGGUAAGAAGCAUGAGCCUAAACCUGACACUGGUGGUGUCAGUGACGAGGCAGAAGCUCCGUCUGAUGUGGCUGUAGGAGGAGCUUCAUCUCAUGUGAAUAUUGGUGAGGAGGUUGUUGAUCCUCCACCGACUUCUGUAAAUGCAGCAGCUAACAGUGAUGUUUCAGUUGACACGCUUCAGCCAGGAAACACCACAGCAACUUCUGAUAGUGGAGAUGAACCGAGAAAAGAAGUUGCGAAUUCCGAAAAUGAUAUCAGCGUAGCAUUGUCCACGGAAGAAGAGAAUGUGAAGAGUAUCGACAUUGGAGCGGCUGGCGCAGUAGAUUCUUUGACGUCUGACCUUGCAGAUACCGAGAAGGGAGUUACACAUGACGAUGCAGAGGAGUCCCUUCUGGCCGUACGAUCUGAGUUACAAAAGAGAUCUAAUGAACUUGAACAAUCAGAACAGAGGUUAUUAUCUACUAGAGAGAAGCUUAGCAUAGCUGUUGUCACGUGUUAGCUCUGUUUGUUCUCAUAUGCAUUUUAAGACUCAGAGACAGAGAGAGCAUUAUCUGUUGUGUUUUAGUUUUUGUUGUUUCCACUUUUUAAAAACAAGUAUAAUGUUUUUGAAACUUAAAAGUUGGCUUUUAUAGUUGUUGUCAAGAGGUCAGUAGUAAUGUAGUAUAUUGAAAAGCUCAUUUAAACGA